GGCUGAAAUUCGCCUUCAUGAAGCCGGAAUUGCUAGUAAUGGCAGGUCAGCAUACUGCCGUGAAUACGUUCCCGGGCCUUGUACACACCGCCCGUCACACCAUGAGAGUUGGGAAUACCCGAAGCCUGUGAGCUAACAUUACGAGGCAGCAGUCGAAGGUAGAAUCAAUGAUUGGGGUGAAGUCGUAACAAGGUAUC
rnacentral:rRNA from 1 species